rnacentral:snRNA from 1 species
AUGCCUUAAAACUGAUGAGUAAGGAAAAUAACGUCGGGGUGCCGCCCGGGUCUUAGCUGAAAUUGCGUAUUAAAUUUUUGAGCGGGUCCAGGUCGUGCUCUGGGUGAUCUGCUUACUUUGCAUUAUCAAGGCUCACCUG